rnacentral:rRNA from 1 species
UACGGAGGGUGCAAGCGUUGUUCGGAAUUACUGGGCGUAAAGCGCGUGUAGGCGGUUUUCCAAGUUGGGUGUGAAAGCCUUGGGCUUAACCCAAGAAAUGCACUCAGUACUGGAAGACUAGAGGACCGGAGAGGAUAGUGGAAUUCCCAGUGUAGUGGUGAAAUACGUAGAGAUUGGGAAGAACACCAGUGGCGAAGGCGGCUAUCUGGACGGUUUCUGACGCUAAGACGCGAAAGCGUGGGGAGCAAACAGG